rnacentral:rRNA from 1 species
AGUCGAGCGAACCGACGGGAGCUUGCUCCCUUAGGUUAGCGGCGGACGGGUGAGUAACACGUGGGUAACCUGCCUGUAAGACUGGGAUAACUCCGGGAAACCGGGGCUAAUACCGGAUGCUUGAUUGAACCGCAUGGUUCAAUCAUAAAAGGCGGCUUCGGCUGCCGUUUACAGAUGGACCCGCGGCGCAUUAGCUAGUUGGUGAGGUAACGGCUCACCAAGGCGACGAUGCGUAGCCGACCUGAGAGGGUGAUCGGCCACACUGGGACUGAGACACGGCCCAGACUCCUACGGGAGGCAGCAGUAGGGAAUCUUCCGCAAUGGACGAAAGUCUGACGGAGCAACGCCGCGUGAGUGAUGAAGGUUUUCGGAUCGUAAAGCUCUGUUGUUAGGGAAGAACAAGUACCGUUCGAAUAGGGCGGUACCUUGACGGUACCUAACCAGAAAGCCACGGCUAACUACGUGCCAGCAGCCGCGGUAAUACGUACGUGGCAAGCGUUGUCCGGAAUUAUUGUGCGUAAAGCGCGCGCAGGCGGUUUCUUAAGUCUGAUGUGAAAGCCCCGCGGCUCAACCGGGGAGGGUCAUUGGAAACUGGGGAACUUGAGUGCAUAAGAGGAGAGU